rnacentral:rRNA from 1 species
AGAACGAACGCUGGCGGCAUGCCUAACACAUGCAAGUCGAACGUGAUCCAGGCUUCGGUCUGGUGAAAGUGGCAGACGGGUGAGUAACGCGUGGGAACCUGCCCUGUGGUAGGGAAUAACCGCGGGAAACUGCGGCUAAUACCCUAUGUGUCCUGAGGGACAAAGAUUUAUCGCCAUAGGAGGGGCCCGCGUCGGAUUAGGUAGUUGGUGGGGUAACGGCCUACCAAGCCAUCGAUCCGUAGCUGGUCUGAGAGGAUGAUCAGCCACACUGGGACUGAGAUACGGCCCAGACUCCUACGGGAGGCAGCAGUGGGGAAUAUUGGACAAUGGGGGCAACCCUGAUCCAGCAAUGCCGCGUGGAUGAUGAAGGCCUUCGGGCUGUAAAGCCCUUUCGGCGGGGACGAUGAUGACGGUACCCGCAGAAGAAGCUCCGGCUAACUUCGUGCCAGCAGCCGCGGUAAUACGAAGGGGGCUAGCGUUGCUCGGAAUGACUGGGCGUAAAGGGCGCGUAGGCGGUUUAGUGAGUUGGGCGUGAAAUUCCUGGGCUUAACCUGGGGGCUGCGUUCAAUACCACUAGGCUUGAGUGUGGAAGAGGGUCGUGGAAUUCCCAGUGUAGAGGUGAAAUUCGUAGAUAUUGGGAAGAACACCGGUGGCGAAGGCGGCGACCUGGUCCAUUACUGACGCUGAGGCGCGAAAGCGUGGGGAGCAAACAGGAUUAGAUACCCUGGUAGUCCACGCCGUAAACGAUGUGUGCUGGAUGUUGGGUAACCUAGUUACUCAGUGUCGUAGCUAACGCGGUAAGCACACCGCCUGGGGAGUACGGCCGCAAGGUUGAA